rnacentral:rRNA from 1 species
AGGAUUAACGCUGGCGGCGUGCCUAAUGCAUGCAAGUCGAACGCGCCUCGCUUCGGUGGGGUGGCGUGGCGGACGGGUGAGGAGCGCGUGGGCAACCUGCCCGGAGGUGGGGGGUAGCCCUCGGAAACGGGGGGUAAUUCCGCAUGGGGUCGCGCUUCUUGUGGGGAGCGUGAGCAAAGGGUCUUCGGACUCGCCUUCGGAGGGGCCUGCGUCCGAUUAGCUAGUUGGGGGGUAACGCCACAAGGCGGUGAUCGGUAGCUGGUCUGAGAGGACGGCCAGCCACACGGGGGACUGAGACACGGCCCCGACUCCUACGGAGCAGCAGCAAGGAAUUUCCGCAAAUGGCGAAAAGCCUGACGGAGACAACGCCGACGUGCGGGAGGACCGCCGUUUCGGGGUGUAAACCGCUUUUCGUCGGGGACGACGACCGACGGUACCGAGGAAGAACGGCCGCUAACACGUGACCAGCAGCCGC